rnacentral:ribozyme from 1 species
AGCGUCUACAGUUCUGUAAAAGAGUUGAAUCCGACGCCCCUAGAAGGCUACUAUAAGCUCUCCUUCUCAACUCCUACUCAAUACGUCCACGAUGUGCAGACAGUAGAUUGUCGUCUAGAUCCAAGCUUGGGUACACGGGGAAACCCAACCCCUUGGGCGGAUGGGCGG